CUCGCCUUGCGUGCCCGCGCAUGACAUGUGAAAUUCCGUCAGCGAUCGAAUUGUCACGGACAGGCAAGGUCUGCGACGAGCGCGCAAACAUCCGCGUUCCGCGCUCAUUCCAAGAAAGGGGUAGCUGACAGUAAUCGCAGGCAAUGGCAUCUCGCGGUGCUGCCGCUUGUGCGAUCCGAUCCCGGGCACCCGAGGUGCAUCGGGUGUCGUCCGACAACGUCGCCUUGCAGGAAGAAGCGAAGAGUGUGCGAGAGCGCCGGCUGGCCUUGGAGGAGGUCAUGCGGCAGGAGCGGGCUCGGCGCCUGCAAGCGGCCGCAUCACGAACGACGGCGACGGCUAAUACGAGCCACUCUUCCGGCUGUGCGGCCCCGCCGAGAGAGCAGCAGAAGGGCGAGGCCGUCGACUCCAACCGCGCUCCGCAAACGCUGGAGGAGUACCGCCGUGAGCUUGACAAAGACUGUCGCAACAAGGAGCUCCUUCGACUACACUACUACACUAGCGGGCAUCUCAACCCGGCUGAUGUGCACUUUUACACUGUCAAGAGCAGGGUGAAAGAGUACCAGCGCCGCGCACCGAGCCCGCCGCCGUCGGAAAGGGCGCGGCGUCUGCUGUUGCCAACGCGCAAGGCUCACCUGGAAACAGAGAUGACGCAGCCGUCGACGCGGGCGCUCGAGACGAUCUCCGUGCUGGAGGGCACCUCAGAGCAGUGGACAAAGUCUGCUCUUCUCCGGAUGCAGGCUAAUCAGCACGUGCUCCGGCGUAUCGAAGAGCGCGAAAGGAAGGAAGCAGCGCACAUCGGCCGACCCAUUGUGCGGGGAACGACGGCUCCUGCCGGUCGACUCAGCGCCCUACCGCAGCCGUACAAUGCACCGGUGACGACGAGCGCAAUGGCGAGCCGCCCUGUGCACGUCGCGGAAGCUGCCGUGCCAGCAUGCGAUGCGCCCCGGUUCCUGGCAGUGGACAGGAGCUACACAGCCACCGCCCCUACGUGGCGGUGGAGUCCGCUUCGCCAGCGUAGUCCACGGAAGACGUACCUGACCACUAGUCCACUGCGUCUACGCGGGCGUGCGGCAUCGCCGGCCGCAGCGCAGAGCGACUCCCUGUUCAAGACCUCUCUCAUCGACGGCUCCUCAGCCCCCUUGCAUAUGUCUCGCACAGUUUCCUUCCCUCCCACCUCCGCUGGACACAAUGGGCGUGCUACGUGCUCGUGGAGGCCGCUGGAGUAUAGCGGUACGGCACACCUCGAGGGCCGCCGCAGUUGGCCGGCCUAUAAGCCUAUUGCAGAGCAGCUGCCCAGCGCGCCGUCGGAGAGCCCCGGCACCUGGGCCGAACUAACGCAGAGCCGGUCGCACCCGAGGCAAGGUCUAACAGCACUGUCCCCUCCACCUAGAGACUACAGCGCCAGGGAGACGGGCGAAGGUGCGCCAAGCGUGCCGACCGUCGGCCCUCCCAUUACGAAGCCGAAGCCAACGCUGCUUAAUGGUUUCCGCAUGCCGGACACAGUCCUGAAGCGGGAGGACCUCUUCCAGGGCUUCAUCUGACGUUCGCGCACCGCUCCAACUGCGACAAAUUCAAGGCAACUGCGCAACCCUCUUUUGUCUCCCUCCCUCUCACUCCGACGCGCAGCUGGGCACGGCACGGGGCGAGGUCGGGAGGGGGGGAUUGGUGGUGCGCUUAGGAAGGAGACAGAGGCGUGCAGAGUGAACCUCGUUCUUCGUCCCCUCACUCCCGGUACCGACAUUCCAAUUUGGUUCGUGGGUGGGUUUGGGGCCACCGUCAUGUCACACGCGCCCAUCCUCGCACCAUCGUUCAACGGCGACGUCUGUGGGCAUACGUGCGCAUCUGUGCCCUGUGUGCGUGUAUGUGUGCUGCUCCUUGGGUAUCGCUGCUCCUCUUGUUCUGGGGCAAUCCUGCACCACUAGACGCGUAGACCAG
rnacentral:misc_RNA from 1 species